rnacentral:misc_RNA from 1 species
GAUGAAGAACGCAGCGAAAUGCGAUAAGUAGUGUGAAUUGCAGAAUUCAGUGAAUCAUCGAAUCUUUGAACGCACAUUGCGCCCCAUGGUAUUCCGUGGGGCAUGCCUGUUCGAGUGUCAUUUACCCCCUCAAGCUCCGCUUGGUGUUGGGCGUCUGUCCCGCUUCGCGCGCGGACUCGCCCCAAAGGUAUUGGCAGCGGUCGUGCCAGCUUCUCGCGCAGCACAUUGCGCUUCUCGAGGCACCGGUGGGCCCGCGUCCAUCAAGCUCACCCCCCCAGUUUGACCUCGGAUCAGGUAGGGAUACCCGCUGAACUUAAGCAUAUCAAUAAGCGGAGGA